AUACGUAGGUGACAAGCGUUAUCCGGAUUUACUGGGCGUAAAGGGCGUGUAGGCGGUCUUGCAAGUCAGAAGUGAAAUUCCUGAGCUCAACUCGGGCGCUGCUUCUGAAACUGCAGGACUUGAGUGCUGGAGGGGAUAGCGGAAUUCCUAGUGGAGCGGUAAAAUGCGCAGAUAUUAGGAAGAACACCGGUGGCGAAGGCGGCUAUCAGGAUAGUAACUGACGCGGAGGCGCGAAAGCGUGGGGAGCAAACAGGAUUAGAUACCCUGGUAGGCCACGCCGUAAACGAUGAAUACUAGGUGUAGGGGGUAUCGACUCCCUCUGUGCCGCAGUUAACACAAUAAGUAUUCCGCCUGGGGAGUACGGCCGCAAGGUAGAAACUCAAAGGAAUUGACGGGG
rnacentral:rRNA from 1 species